rnacentral:rRNA from 1 species
UACGUAGGGGGCAAGCGUUGUCCGGAAUUAUUGGGCGUAAAGAGCUCGUAGGCGGUCUGUCGCGUCGGUCGUGAAAACUCCAGGCUCAACUUGGAGACGCCAUUCGAUACUGCGAUGACUUGAGUCCGGUAGGGGAGUGUGGAAUUCCUGGUGUAGCGGUGAAAUGCGCAGAUAUCAGGAGGAACACCGGCGGCGAAGGCGGCACUCUGGGCCGGUACUGACGCUGAGGAGCGAAAGCGUGGGUAGCAAACAGG